rnacentral:rRNA from 1 species
AGCAUAUCAAUAAGCGGAGGAAAAGAAACCAACAGGGAUUGCCUUAGUAACGGCGAGUGAAGCGGCAACAGCUCAAAUUUGAAAGCUGGCCCUUUUAGGGUCCGCGUUGUAAUUUGUAGAGGAUGAUUCGGCGAGGGCUCCCGCCUAAGUCCCCUGGAACGGGGCGUCAUAGAGGGUGAGAAUCCCGUCUGCGGUGGGCUGCCUUAGCCAUGUGAAUCUCCUUCGACGAGUCGAGUUGUUUGGGAAUGCAGCUCUAAAUGGGAGGUAAAUUUCUUCUAAAGCUAAAUACCGGCCAGAGACCGAUAGCGCACAAGUAGAGUGAUCGAAAGAUGAAAAGCACUUUGGAAAGAGAGUUAAAAAGUACGUGAAAUUGUUGAAAGGGAAGCGCUUGCAACCAGACUUGUCCGCAGUUGCUCAGCCGGUCUCCUGACCGGCGUACUCUUCUGCGGCCAGGCCAGCAUCAGUUCGGGCGGUCGGAUAAAGACCUCGGGAAUGUAGCUCCUCUCGGGGAGUGUUAUAGCCCGGGGUGGAAUGCGGCCAGCCUGGACUGAGGAUCUCGCUUCGGCAAGGAUGCUGGCGUAAUGGUUGUAAGCGGCCCGUCUUGAAACACGGACCAAGGAGUCUAACAUCUAUGCGAGUGUUUGGGUGUCAAACCCAUACGCGUAAUGAAAGUGAACGGAGGUGGGAACCCGCAAGGGCGCACCAUCGGCCGAUCCUGAUGUCUUCGGAUGGAUUUGAGCAAGAGCAUAGCUGUUGGGACCCGAAAGAUGGUGAACUAUGCCUGAAUAGGGUGAAGCCAGAGGAAACUCUGGUGGAGGCUCGCAGCGGUUCUGACGUGCAAAUCGAUCGUCAAAUUUGGGUAUAGGGGCGAAAGACUAAUCGAACCAUC